AGUGGUUUUCCAGCAACUCGUCCCCUGCCACGUAGAGCUACGAAGGACCAGCGGGUUUCUAAGUAACUUGAUCCUUGAUUUGAUAGGACCUUUUUGGGAGACCAGUUGGUUGAAACUAACUCCGUGUCCCUCUGACUCCAACUGUAAGAGAACUUUCCAUACCUUUCUCACUUAUUGAACCGUCAGCAGUGCUUUGUCUUUGCUGCAGCUCAUCUUCACAAACUUAUACUACCUAUCACGAAGAGCCACUGGAAUCAGCAGCUUAAUGUUCACAUACAUCCGGAGCAGCGACUACUGAUGAUGUAACAGCUUCUUGAAGUGCUGUCCCAAUUCAUAGGGGAAGAUUUGAAGGGGGCUUUGGCACUACCCCUCCAUCCACUUCAAAUGUAGAGAUGCCAUUCAGAUGUUUAAACCUCAUCAGGAACUGGAGCUGAAAAACUCAGGAGAAACUGCUCCUUUUCUGGCCAUUUGACAGCUGGUCUGCUGUUCUGUAAGUACAGUGAAGACGUGGAGCAAGCUGUUUUGCGGAAACAUCAUGAGGCAGCUUAAAGGCAAACCCAAGAAAGAAACAUCCAAGGAUAAGAAGGAGCCCUGAGCCCCCCCACACGAGGCAGUCACUGCACAUUUGGCCGAAACUCUCGCUGCAAGUCCGGAUUUGCAGUGUGGAAAAUGACGCCAUUGUCUCUGCCUGUAAGACGUACUAUGACGUACUAAGACGUACUAUGAGCCAGUAAGGAACUUCCGGUACAUCCAACCGGACCUCGCAGCUCUUGCAGCAGCAUUGAAAAGUUCAGGAGUCGACAGAGAAGAAAGAGGCUGAUUGAAGCGGGACAGAUGACAUGGAUCCAUCCUUCCACAGCCAGGAGCUCACCGACC